rnacentral:misc_RNA from 1 species
GAAAUGCGAUAAGUAGUGUGAAUUGCAGAAUUCCGUGAAUCAUCGAAUCUUUGAACGCACAUUGCGCCUCCUGGCAUUCCGGGAGGCAUGCCUGUUCGAGCGUCAUUAAAAUCAUAUCAAGCAAUUUUGCAUGGUCAUGGAGGAAGAGUCCACCCGGUGUGGUCUCCCCGCCGAAAUGCAACGGCGGAAAGUCUCUGAUACUAGGCGUAGUAGUAACGUUCGCUUUGUAUCCGCAGUCAUUCCUGCCAGCGAAACCCCCACAAUUCUCUUGAUUGACCUCGGAUCAGGUAGGGAUACCCGCUGAACUUAA